rnacentral:rRNA from 1 species
GUCCACGCCCUAACGAUGUCAACUGGUUGUUGGACGGCUUGCUGUUCAGUAACGAAGCUAACGCGUGAAGUUGACCGCCUGGGGAGUACGGCCGCAAGGUUGAAACUCAAAGGAAUUGACGGGACCCGCACAAGCGGUGGAUGAUGUGGUUUAAUUCGAUGCAACGCGAAAACCUUACCUACCCUUGACAUGUCUGGAAUCCUGAAGAGAUUUGGGAGUGCUCGAAAGAGAGCCAGAACACAGGUGCUGCAUGGCCGUCGU